CGCGGUAAUACGUAGGUGGCGAGCGUUGUCCGGAAUUACUGGGCGUAAAGGAUGCGUAGGCGGAAGAUUAAGUCAGAUGUGAAAUCCCCGAGCUUAACUUGGGAAUGGCAUUUGAAACUGAUUUUCUAGAGUGCAGGAGAGGAAAGCGGAAUUCCUAGUGUAGCGGUGAAAUGCGUAGAUAUUAGGAAGAACACCAGUGGCGAAGGCGGCUUUCUGGACUGUAACUGACGCUGAGGCAUGAAAGCGUGGGGAGCAAACAGGAUUAGAUACCCUGGUAGUCCACGCCGUAAACGAUGAGUGCUAGGUGUAGGAGGUAUCGACACCUUCUGUGCCGCAGUAAACGCAAUAAGCACUCCGCCUGGGGAGUACGGUCGCAAGACUAAAACUCAAAGGAAUUGACGGGGGCCCGCACAAGCAGCGGAGCAUGUGGUUUAAUUCGAAGCAACGCGAAGAACCUUACCAGGACUUGACAUCCAAAGAAUCCACAAGAGAUUGAGGAGUGCCUUUCGGGGAACUUUGAGACAGGUGGUGCAUGGUUGUCGUCAGCUCGUGUCGUGAGAUGUUGGGUUAAGUCCCGCAACGAGCGCAACCCUUGUCAUUAGUUGCUAACAUAUAAGGUGAGCACUCUAAUGAGACUGCCGGGGACAACUCGGAGGAAGGUGGGGAUGACGUCAAAUCAUCAUGCCCCUUAUGUCCUGGGCUACACACGUGCUACAAUGGAUAGAACAAUGAGAUGCAAGAUGGCAACAUGGAGCAAAUCUACAAAACUAUUCCCAGUUCGGAUUGAGGGCUGCAACCCGCCCUCAUGAAGCCGGAGUUGCUAGUAAUCGCGAAUCAGCAUGUCGCGGUGAAUACGUUCCCGGGCCUUGUACACACCGCCCGUCACACCAUGAGAGUCUGCAACACCCGAAGCC
rnacentral:rRNA from 1 species